UGGGGAAUAUUGCACAAUGGGCGAAAGCCUGAUGCAGCGACGCCGCGUGAGGGAUGACGGCCUUCGGGUUGUAAACCUCUUUCAGCAGGGACGAAGCGCAAGUGACGGUACCUGCAGAAGAAGCACCGGCUAACUACGUGCCAGCAGCCGCGGUAAUACGUAGGGUGCAAGCGUUGUCCGGAAUUACUGGGCGUAAAGAGUUCGUAGGCGGUUUGUCGCGUCGUUUGUGAAAACCUGCAGCUCAACUGCUGGCUUGCAGGCGAUACGGGCAGACUUGAGUACUGCAGGGGAGACUGGAAUUCCUGGUGUAGCGGUGAAAUGCGCAGAUAUCAGGAGGAACACCGGUGGCGAAGGCGGGUCUCUGGGCAGUAACUGACGCUGAGGAACGAAAGCGUGGGUAGCGAACAGG
rnacentral:rRNA from 1 species